GGUUCUAUUGUGUAAUGGUUAGCACUUUGGGCUUUGAAUUCAACAAUCUGAGUUCAAAAAUCGGUGGAACCU